CAGCGAUGUGAUGCUAAUCUCCAAACCAUGUCUCAGUUCGGAUCGGAGUCUGCAACUCGACUCCGUGAAGCUGGAUUCGCUAGUAAUCGCGCAUCAGCCAUGGCGCGGUGAAUACGUUCCCGGGCCUUGUACACACCGCCCGUCAAGCCAUGGGAGCCGGGGGUACCUGAAGUCCGUAACCGCGAGGAUCGGCCUAGGGUAAAACUGGUGACUGGGGCUAAGUCGUAACAAGGUAUC
rnacentral:rRNA from 1 species